rnacentral:rRNA from 1 species
GCGGUAAUACCAGCUCUUCGAGUGGUGGGGACGAUUAUUGGGCUUAAAGCGUUCGUAGCCGGCUUAACAAGUCUUCCGUUAAAUCCAACGAUCUAAUCGUUGGUCUGCGGGAGAUACUGUUGGGCUAGGAGGCGGGAGAAGCCGACGGUAUUCUCGGGGUAGGGGUGAAAUCCUGUAAUCCCGG